CUCCAGCAAAGGGCUGUUCCCACACCCUACUCCUGUCUCAGGCCCAGAAUUCCAAAAGGUGGACGUACUGGGGGGCUGGCUGCAAUGGAAGAGGAAAGUCUGUUUCAGAACGAACUACCAGAGGGUU
rnacentral:snoRNA from 1 species